AUUGAACGCUGGCGGCAGGCCUAACACAUGCAAGUCGAGCGAGCGGCGGACGGGUGAGUAAUGUCUGGGGAACUGCCCGAUGGAGGGGGAUAACUACUGGAAACGGUAGCUAAUACCGCAUACCAUCGGAUGUGCCCAGAUGGGAUUAGCUAGUAGGUGAGGUAAUGGCUUACCUAGGCGACGAUCCCUAGCUGGUCUGAGAGGAUGACCAGCCACACUGGAACUGAGACACGGUCCAGACUCCUACGGGAGGCAGCAGUGGGGAAUAUUGCACAAUGGGCGCAAGCCUGAUGCAGCCAUGCCGCGUGUAUGAAGAAGGCCUUCGGGUUGUAAAGUACUUUCAGCGAGGAGGCGUUACUCGCAGAAGAAGCACCGGCUAACUCCGUGCCAGCAGCCGCGGUAAUUC
rnacentral:rRNA from 1 species